CGGAGCCUUUGAUGUCCCGCCGGCGGCCCCUUUCAUCCCCCCCCCCGAGCCCCCCCCGGGCCCUUUGUGCGACUAAAUUUGGCAGGAGCAUGGAGGCGCGCCAGGGCGCCCACGUGUGCGCCGAGCUCCCAGCUGAGCCGGCCGAGGGUUUUCUUCCGGCCUGCUGAACAGUGGCAGCAGCAGCAGAGACCUUCUGAGGGGCUGUGACUUGGAGCUGAUGGCUUGGACCCACGAGUGUCGCUGGCUUCAGGUUUUUGGUUUCUCGGUGAAGUGAACCGACCCAACGCAGAUGAAGACCACAGAAUGGGUAGCAGGAAAAUUGCAACAUCAGGGGUGAGAAACAGCAAGAAGACAUCGUGCUAGUCCCUGGUAGCUUCCACUAGAUGCGAUGAAAAAUCAAUCCAAAUGUUCUUUCUACCCAAAAUGCCAUUUUUAUUAAAAAUGUGAAUGUUUAGCGGG